UGGUGGAGCGAUUUGUCUGGUCAAUUCCGAUAACCAACGAGACUCUAGCCUACUAAAUAGUUCGGGGACCCCCACAAAGGGGCCCCGCUUCAACUUCUUAGAGGGACAGGUGGCGUUUAGCCACACGAGAUUGAGCAAUAACA
rnacentral:rRNA from 1 species